rnacentral:lncRNA from 1 species
GCGAGUGUAUUGCAUAUUGUGAAUGUCACCGCAUUCUUGGUACUCAGUAUAGUUUAUUGUAUACGGAAUAGAAUAUUAUAUGCGAUCUUGUAACAUUGUUAUUACGCCAGUAUAAUAUUUAUAUGUUUAUAGUAUAAGACUUUGAUAAGACUGUGAUAUUGAUAAUUGUAAUAACUAUAUGCUAUUGUUAUUGCAGGGUUAUUUAUUUAUUCCUAUGUUUACUUAAUAAAGUGAUGUCAAAGAACCCUAGACUUGUCGUUUAUGGAAC